rnacentral:rRNA from 1 species
AGGGCGCAAGGGGAAUGCCUUGGCACUGAGAGCCGACGAAGGACGCGACAAGCUGCGAUAAGCUACGGGGAGCCGCAAAUGGGCUUUGAUCCGUAGAUUUCCGAAUGGGGAAACCCGAUGGAGCAAUACUCCAUCAACCAUGACUGAAUACAUAGGUCAUGGUGGGGAACCGCCUGAACUGAAACAUCUAAGUAGGGCGAGGAAGAGAAAUCAACCGAGAUUCCGCUAGUAGUGGCGAGCGAACGCGGAAGAGGCCAAACCGGAGGUAGCAAUAUUUCCGGGGUUAGGACUGCAACAUGUAACUUUAAUCUUUAACUGAAUGCUUUGGGAAGAGCAGCGAAACAGGGUGACAGCCCCGUAAGUGAAAGAGAUUGAGUGCUAGCAGUAUCCAGAGUACCAGCGGACACGUGAAACCCGCUGGGAAGAUGGGGGGACCAUCCUCCAAGCCUAAAUACUACUCAGUGACCGAUAGUGGAGCAGUACCGUGAGGGAAAGGUGAAAAGUACCCCGGGAGGGGAGUGAAAGAGAACCUGAAACCUUGUGCCUACAAGCACCGAGAGCACGUUAAAGUGUGAUCGGGUACUUUUUGUAGAACGGUCCGGCGAGUUAAUAUUUGCAGCGAGGUUAAGUAACUGGAGUUACGGAGCCGCAGCGAGAGCGAGUCUGAAUAGGGCGUAUGAAGUUGCAGGUAUUAGACCCGAAACCGGGUGACCUAUCCAUGAGCAGGCUGAAGCGGUGGUAAGACACCGUGGAGGGCCGCACCCACGUCUGUUGAAAAAGCCGGGGAUGACUUGUGGAUAGCGGAGAAAUUCCAAUCGAACUCGGAGAUAGCUGGUUCUCCCCGAAAUAGCUUUAGGGCUAGCGUUAUUUUAGAUUACCGGAGGUAAAGCACUGAAUGGUCUAGGGGCCGCGAGGUUACCAAAGCCUAUCAAACUCUGAAUGCCGGAUAAUUGAUGAAUAGCAGUCAGACUGUGUGAGAUAAGUCUCAUAGUCAAAAGGGAAACAGCCCAGAUCUACAGCUAAGGUCCCAAAUGAACACUAAGUGGAAAAUGAUGUGAAACUGCGAAGACAACCAGGAUGUUGGCUUAGAAGCAGCCACUCAUUCAAAGAGUGCGUAAUAGCUCACUGGUCGAGUGGUUUUGCGCAGAAAAUGUAACGGGGCUAAGUGUUCAACCGAAGCUUAGGCAUUGUACUUUGUACAUUGGGUAGGGGAGCGUCGUAUGCGGGGCGAAGUCAGAGCGGAAGCACUGGUGGACUGCAUACGAGUGAGAAUGCCGGAAUAAGUAGCGAGAAUUAUGUGAGAAUCAUAAUGGCCGAAAAUCUAAGGUUUCCUGGGGAAGGUUCGUCCGCCCAGGGUUAGUCGGGAGCUAAGCUCAGGCCGAAAGGCGUAGGCGAUGCACAUACGGUAGAAAUUCCGUAACCACCGAACUUUAAGCUAGAGGGACGCUUUCUUUAAGGUUAUCCCGGGCGAUGGUUGCCCCGGGCGUAAGGGACCGAAAUUUAGUAGGGAAGUAACUGGCGAGAGAGACGAGAAAAGCUCUAGUGUAUACUAAGGUGCCCGUACCGCAAACCGACACAGGUAGAUGGGAUGAGUAUUCUAAGGCCAACGGGAGAAGGGUUGUUAAGGAACUCGGCAAAUUGGCCCCGUAACUUCGGGAUAAGGGGCGCCUGCGAGAGCAGGCCGCAGUGAAAAGGCCCAAGCGACUGUUUAGCAAAAACACAGCUCUCUGCUAAAUCGAAAGAUGACGUAUAGGGGGUGACGCCUGCCCGGUGCUGGAAGGUUAAGGGGAGUGCUUAGCGCAAGCGAAGGUGCGAACUUAAGCCCCAGUAAACGGCGGCCGUAACUAUAACGGUCCUAAGGUAGCGAAAUUCCUUGUCAGGUAAGUUCUGACCCGCACGAAUGGCGUAACGAUUUGGGCACUGUCUCAACAGCCCGCCCGGCGAAAUUGUAGUACCGGUGAAGAUGCCGGUUUCCCGCAACUAGACGGAAAGACCCCAUGGAGCUUCACUGUAGCUUGAUAUUGGACUUCGGUAUUCCAUGUACAGGAUAGGUGGGAGGCUAGGAAGCGAGCGCGCCAGCGUUCGUGGAGCCGUCCUUGGGAUACCACUCUUGGGAUAUUGGAGUUCUAACCUGCGACCAUGAAUCUGGUCGGGGGACAUUGUCAGGUGGGCAGUUUGACUGGGGC